rnacentral:rRNA from 1 species
GCGUGAGUGAUGAAGGCCCUAGGGUUGUAAAGCUCUUUCGACGGGGAUGAUAAUGACCGUACCCGUAGAAGAAGCCACGGCUAAAUUCGUGCCAGCAGCCGCGGUAAUACGAAUGUGGCAAGCGUUGUUCGGAAUCACUGGGCGUAAAGAAUGCGUAGGCGGCUUGACAAGUCAGGAGUGAAAUCCCAGGGCUCAACCCUGGAACUGCUCUUGAAACUGUCGAGCUAGUGUCCCGGAGGGGUUGACGGAAUUCCGAGUGUAGAGGUGAAAUUCGC